rnacentral:rRNA from 1 species
CUGCCCUUCAGUCCGGGACAACUUUCCGAAAGGGGAGCUAAUACCGGAUAACAAUGUUUGACAUAAGUUGAAUAUUUGAAAGCUCCGGUGCUGAUGGAUGAGUCUGCGUCCCAUUAGCUUGUUGGUGCGGUAGUGGCGCACCAAGGCCGCGAUGGGUAGCGGGUUUGAGAGGACGAUCCGCCACACUGGAACUGAGACACGGUCCAGACUCCUACGGGAGGCAGCAGUGGGGAAUAUUGCACAAUGGAGGAAACUCUGAUGCAGCAAUGCCGCGUGAGUGAAGAAGGCCCUUGGGUCGUAAAGCUCUUUUAUGGGGGAAGAUGAUGACGGUACCCCAAGAAUAAGCACCGGCUAACUACGUGCCAGCAGCCGCGGUAAUACGUAGGGUGCAAGCGUUGUUCGGAAUUACUGGGCGUAAAGGGCGCGCAGGCGGAGGUGCAAGUCGGAGGUGAAAGCCCGGGGCUCAACCCCGGAGGGUCUUUCGAAACUGCAUCUCUAGAGAGGGUCAGGGGCCGGCAGAAUUCCUGGUGUAGAGGUGAAAUUCGUAGAUAUCAGGAGGAAUACCGGUGGCGAAAGCGGCCGGCUGGGGCCACUCUGACGCUGAGGCGCGAAAGCGUGAGGAGCAAACAGGAUUAGAUACCCUGGUAGUCCACGCCGUAGACGAUGAGCACUGGACGUUCGGAGGGUUCGACCCUUCUGGGUGUUUCAGCUAACGCAUUAAGUGCUCCGCCUGGGGAGUACGGUCGCAAGACUAAAACUCAAAGGAAUUGACGGGGGCCCGCACAAGCGGUGGAACAUGU